UACGUAGGGUGCAAGCGUUAAUCGGAAUUACUGGGCGUAAAGCGUGCGCAGGCGGUUUUGUAAGUCUGACGUGAAAUCCCCGGGCUCAACCUGGGAAUUGCGUUGGAGACUGCAAGGCUAGAAUCUGGCAGAGGGGGGUAGAAUUCCACGUGUAGCAGUGAAAUGCGUAGAGAUGUGGAGGAACACCGAUGGCGAAGGCAGCCCCCUGGGACAAGAUU
rnacentral:rRNA from 1 species